rnacentral:rRNA from 1 species
UACGUAGGGGGCAAGCGUUGUCCGGAUUUAUUGGGCGUAAAGAGCGUGUAGGCGGCCAUGUAGGUCCGUUGUGAAAACUCGAGGCUCAACCUCGAGACGCCGAUGGAAACCAUGUGGCUAGAGUCCGGAAGAGGAGAGUGGAAUUCCUGGUGUAGCGGUGAAAUGCGCAGAUAUCAGGAAGAACACCCGUGGCGAAGGCGGCGCUCUGGACCGAGACUGACGCUGAGGCGCGAAAGCGUGGGAGCAAACAGG